rnacentral:rRNA from 1 species
UACGUAGGGUGCAAGCGUUGUCCGGAAUUAUUGGGCGUAAAGAGCUCGUAGGCGGUUUGUCGCGUCUGCUGUGAAAACUCGGGGCUUAACUCCGGGCCUGCAGUGGGUACGGGCAGACUAGAGUGCGGUAGGGGAGACUGGAAUUCCUGGUGUAGCGGUGAAAUGCGCAGAUAUCAGGAGGAACACCGGUGGCGAAGGCGGGUCUCUGGGCUGUAACUGACGCUGAGGAGCGAAAGCGUGGGGAGCGAACAGG